rfam:Clostridium sp. 7_2_43FAA genomic scaffold supercont2.3, whole genome shotgun sequence.
UCCAUAGUGAAGUGGAAUAUUAAGGAAGUUGGCGGCAAACCUUUGGUCUUAGGUACACAAAUCACAUUUGAGGUUUGAUUCUUUGGGUAAGUUUGAAUAACAAAGCGAAGCCCAAUAACUAUCAGAAAACAGAUAAAGUAUAUAUGGCAGAUAGGUGAAGGGAAAGUACGCGUU